UACGUAGGGUGCAAGCGUUUGUCCGGAAUUAUUGGGCGUAAAGAGCUCGUAGGCGGUUUGUCGCGUCUGCUGUGAAAACCCGAGGCUCAACCUCGGGCCUGCAGUGGGGUACGGGCAGACUAGAGUGGCGGUAGGGGAGAUUGGAAUUCCUGGUGUAGCGGUGGAAUGCGCAGAUAUCAGGAGGAACACCAAUGGCGAAGGCAGAUCUCUGGGCCGUAACUGACGCUGAGGAGCGAAAGCAUGGGGAGCGAACAGG
rnacentral:rRNA from 1 species